rnacentral:rRNA from 1 species
UACGGAGGGUACAAGCGUUAUCCGGAUUUACUGGGUUUAAAGGGUGCGUAGGCGGACUUGUAAGUCAGUGGUGAAAUCCCGGGGCUCAACCCCGGAACUGCCAUUGAUACUAUAGGUCUUGAAUAUUGUUGAGGUGGGCGGAACGGGUCAUGUAGCGGUGAAAUGCAUAGAUAUGACUUAGAACACCAAUUGCGAAGGCAGCUUGCUAAACAAAUAUUGACGCUGAGGCACGAAAGCGUGGGGAUCAAACAGG